UUUCGCUGAGAAUUCCCAAGCAACGCUGGAACCCAGCGACCUUUUACUGCGCUGAAUAAUGAUGCUGAGUCAGCGUGGGAAACUGACAGCCUAUUCCUGUGCAGCCUAUUCCUGCGCUUCUUGUGAUACUGGAAAACCUCUUCGUAUCAAGAUUUUAAUAAAGCCUGCAGGCUGGAGUGCCGUAACAGCCAAAUUGAAGAUUUGGCCAGUAUGACACUUGGAAGUUCAACAAGCUCCUAGCUCCAACACCAGCUCUGCUCUGAGAGUAUAGAAAAACACAAAACAACGCUGCCACAUCAAUUUCCCAUAAUUUAGAUAACAUGAGUGUAAAUUUCAGUUCAAAAAUUUAGAUAAUGUGUUCCUCAACAAAUCGAUGUCAGUAAGUGAAUUAGUGAGGUCAGGGUAGUUCAAUUUAAUUCCAAGAAAUCCGCAAAGUAUUUCCAAAAUAAUGCAAGUCACAAUAAGCAAUUCACCAUCCAUGCAACAUUGCU
rnacentral:lncRNA from 1 species